CCUACGGGCGGCUGCAGUGGGGAAUAUUGCGCAAUGGGCGAAAGCCUGACGCAGCGACGCCGCGUGAGGGAUGAAGGUCUUCGGAUCGUAAACCUCUGUCAGCAGGGAAGAACGGUCACUGUGCUAAUCAGCAGUGAAUUGACGGUACCUGUAAAGGAAGCACCGGCUAACUCCGUGCCAGCAGCCGCGGUAAUACGGAGGGUGCGAGCGUUAAUCGGAUUUACUGGGCGUAAAGCGCUCGUAGGCGGUAUGUCAAGUCAAGGGUGAAAUCCCCGCGCGCAACGUGGGAACUGCCUUUGAAACUGGCAGACUGGAGUGUGUGAGAGGAUAGUGGAAUUCGAGGUGUAGGAGUGAAAUGCGUAGAUAUCACGAAGAACAUCGGUGGCGAAGGCAGCUAUCUGGCACGUAACUGACACUGAGGAGCGAAAGCGUGGGUAGCAAACAGGAUUAGAUACCCGAGUAGUC
rnacentral:rRNA from 1 species